AAGAAAGUAUGCAAGAACUGCUAAUUCAUGCUACCAUGCUUAAAAACAUGGCUUUCUUA
rnacentral:tRNA from 1 species